AACGAACGCUGGCGGCAUGCCUAACACAUGCAAGUCGAACGAGACCUUCGGGUCUAGUGGCGCACGGGUGCGUAACGCGUGGGAACCUGCCCUUAGGUUCGGAAUAACUCCCCGAAAGGGGUGCUAAUACCGGAUAAUGUCUUCGGACCAAAGAUUUAUCGCCUUUGGAUGGGCCCGCGUUGGAUUAGCUUGUUGGUAGGGUAAAAGCCUACCAAGGCGACGAUCCAUAGCUGGUCUGAGAGGAUGAUCAGCCACACUGGGACUGAGACACGGCCCAGACUCCUACGAGAGGCAGCAGGGGGGAAUAUUGGACAAUGGGCGAAAGCCUGAUCCAGCAAGGCCGCGAGAGUGAUGAAGGCCUUAGGGAUGUAAAGCGCUUUUACCCGGGAUGAUAAUGACAGUACCGGGAGAAUAAGCCCCGGCUAACUCCGU
rnacentral:rRNA from 1 species